AUGAACGCUAGCUACAGGCUUAACACAUGCAAGUCGAGGGGCAGCGGGAUUGAAGCUUGCUUCAAUUGCCGGCGACCGGCGCACGGGUGAGUAACGCGUAUCCAACCUUCCGCUUACUCGGGGAUAGCCUUUCGAAAGAAAGAUUAAUACCCGAUGGUAUCUUAAGCACGCAUGAGAUUAAGAUUAAAGAUUUAUCGGUAAGCGAUGGGGAUGCGUUCCAUUAGGCAGUUGGCGGGGUAACGGCCCACCAAACCUACGAUGGAUAGGGGUUCUGAGAGGAAGGUCCCCCACAUUGGAACUGAGACACGGUCCAAACUCCUACGGGAGGCAGCAGUGAGGAAUAUUGGUCAAUGGGCGAGAGCCUGAACCAGCCAAGUAGCGUGAAGGAUGACGGCCCUACGGGUUGUAAACUUCUUUUGUGCGGGAAUAAAGGAACCUACGUGUAGGUUUUUGCAUGUACCGUAACGAAUAAGCAUCGGCUAACUCCGUGCCAGCAGCCGCGGUAAUACGGAGGAUGCGAGCGUUAUCCGGAUUUAUUGGGUUUAAAGGGAGCGUAGACGGGUUUUUAAGUCAGCUGUGAAAGUUUGGGGCUCAACCUUAAAAUUGCAGUUGAAACUGGAGACCUUGAGUACGGUUGAGGCAGGCGGAAUUCGUGGUGUAGCGGUGAAAUGCUUAGAUAUCACGAAGAACCCCGAUUGCGAAGGCAGCCUGCUAAGCCGCCACUGACGUUGAGGCUCGAAAGUGCGGGUAUCAAACAGGAUUAGAUACCCUGGUAGUCCGCACGGUAAACGAUGGAUACUCGCUGUUGGCGAUAGACAGUCAGCGGCCAAGCGAAAGCGUUAAGUAUCCCACCUGGGGAGUACGCCGGCAACGGUGAAACUCAAAGGAAUUGACGGGGGCCCGCACAAGCGGUGGAGCAUGUGGUUUAAUUCGAAGCAACGCGAAGAACCUUACCAGGUCUUGACAUCCUUCUGACCACUCCGUAAUGGGAGUUUUCCUUCGGGACAGAAGAGACAGGUGGUGCAUGGUUGUCGUCAGCUCGUGCCGUGAGGUGUCGGCUUAAGUGCCAUAACGAGCGCAACCCUUGCUGCCAGUUACUAACAGGUCAUGCUGAGGACUCUGGCAGGACUGCCAUCGUAAGAUGCGAGGAAGGUGGGGAUGACGUCAAAUCAGCACGGCCCUUACGUCCGGGGCUACACACGUGUUACAAUGGGGAGUACAGAGGGCAGCUACCGGGCGACCGGAUGCGAAUCCCGAAAGCUCCUCUCAGUUCGGACUGGAGUCUGCAACCCGACUCCACGAAGCUGGAUUCGCUAGUAAUCGCGCAUCAGCCACGGCGCGGUGAAUACGUUCCCGGGCCUUGUACACACCGCCCGUCAAGCCAUGAAAGCCGGGGGUACCUGAAGUACGUAACCGCGAGGAUCGUCCUAGGGUAAAACCGGUAAUUGGGGCU
rnacentral:rRNA from 1 species